GGGUCAUGAAGAAGAGGCGGCGGCGGGAGGAAGGAGGAGGUGGUGGGGGCGCGAAAUUGCGGUAGCUGCCCGCUGGGCUGGUGGUUUGGCUUUGUGGGAAGGGCGUAGUUCGUACUCUCUCUUGGGGCAGUGGCCGGGGCUCGGGGCUGAGAGCGGCUGUAGGGCCGCCUCCCCGGGCCCCCUGGCUCCGCCAUGUUCCGUAGGGCACGCCUUAGCGUGAAGCCGAAUGUCAGGCCUGGCGUAGGCUCUAGGGGCUCCACCGCCCCCAAUCCCCAGCGUGGACCAGAGACUUCCAGGCCGCCAGAGCCUUCCGUAGCCUCUGCUCCAAAGCCAGCGGAAUCUACAGAUGUGCCCCCAGUGGAUUUCGGGGGAGCGGAACCCCAAGAAAAGACACCCGGCAAUAGUUUCAACAGUGAUAAAAGGACUGAUGAUGAGAGUGAUGUUGAAGAAUCCAGUAAAUCUUCCACUACUGUUUCACAGAGAAAAAAGCGAGUAUCAAGUACUUCUAAUUCGGUUAAGCCUAAUGUCAGCAUUCCUUCAGAACCUCAUCCCUUACCUACAGUUAAUCAAGAAGCUAUACAGCCUAAUUCCAUUCCACCCAAAGAGAAACAGCCAUGUUCCGACAGAUAUCGAAUAUAUAAAGCCCAGAAACUGAGAGAAAUGUUAAAGGAAGAGUUGAGAAAAGAAAAGAAGCAAUGGAAAAACAAGUAUGUAAUAAAUGAAAGUCAGAGACCACCAGAUCGUACAAAAAUGACUAUGAGAGACUUCAUAUAUUACCUGCCAGAUAACAACCC